AACGCUAGCUACAGGCUUAACACAUGCAAGUCGAGGGGCAGCAUGGUCUUAGCUUGCUAAGGCUGAUGGCGACCGGCGCACGGGUGAGUAACACGUAUCCAACCUGCCGUCUACUCUUGGCCAGCCUUCUGAAAGGAAGAUUAAUCCAGGAUGGGAUCAUGAGUUCACAUGUCCGCAUGAUUAAAGGUAUUUUCCGGUAGACGAUGGGGAUGCGUUCCAUUAGAUAGUAGGCGGGGUAACGGCCCACCUAGUCAACGAUGGAUAGGGGUUCUGAGAGGAAGGUCCCCCACAUUGGAACUGAGACACGGUCCAAACUCCUACGGGAGGCAGCAGUGAGGAAUAUUGGUCAAUGGGCGAUGGCCUGAACCAGCCAAGUAGCGUGAAGGAUGACUGCCCUAUGGGUUGUAAACUUCUUUUAUAAAGGAAUAAAGUCGGGUAUGCAUACCCGUUUGCAUGUACUUUAUGAAUAAGGAUCGGCUAACUCCGUGCCAGCAGCCGCGGUAAUACGGAGGAUCCGAGCGUUAUCCGGAUUUAUUGGGUUUAAAGGGAGCGUAGAUGGAUGUUUAAGUCAGUUGUGAAAGUUUGCGGCUCAACCGUAAAAUUGCAGUUGAUACUGGAUGUCUUGAGUGCAGUUGAGGCAGGCGGAAUUCGUGGUGUAGCGGUGAAAUGCUUAGAUAUCACGAAGAACUCCGAUUGCGAAGGCAGCCUGCUAAGCUGCAACUGACAUUGAGGCUCGAAAGUGUGGGUAUCAAACAGGAUUAGAUACCCUGGUAGUCCACACGGUAAACGAUGAAUACUCGCUGUUUGCGAUAUACGGCAAGCGGCCAAGCGAAAGCGUUAAGUAUUCCACCUGGGGAGUACGCCGGCAACGGUGAAACUCAAAGGAAUUGACGGGGGCCCGCACAAGCGGAGGAACAUGUGGUUUAAUUCGAUGAUACGCGAGGAACCUUACCCGGGCUUAAAUUGCACUCGAAUGAUCCGGAAACGGUUCAGCUAGCAAUAGCGAGUGUGAAGGUGCUGCAUGGUUGUCGUCAGCUCGUGCCGUGAGGUGUCGGCUUAAGUGC
rnacentral:rRNA from 1 species